GUCCCCCUGACCGGGGCAGUUACCCAGAGUGGGUGCGAGGCCCAUAGCUGCUAKGUCCGCCGCGGAUGUGAUCUCUUGGGAGUCAGGUUGCUUGGGAGUGCAGCCCCAAUUGGGUGGUAAACUCCACCUAAKACUAAAUACGGCCGUGAGACCGAUAGCAAACAAGUACCGUGAGGGAAAGUUGCAAAGAACUUUGAAGAGAGAGUUCAAGAGUACGUGAAACUGCUCAGAGGCAAACGGGUGGGCCCUCGAAAUCCCUUGGCAGGGGGAUUCAGUUUGGAAGGGCCUGGGCGGCGUACGCUGGACUCCGACCGGAGCCGAGCGAACGUCGUGGUCUGGGUCCGACCUGACGCAUUUCUCCCUGCACUGGGACGCCGCAUCCGGUUGGGUAGCUGCGUGAGUCGGCCAUGUGGGCGAGCUCCGGAAGGUGGCCGGUGGCGGGGUUCCCUGCUGCCGGUUGUUAGCCUGUUCGCUCGUGGCGCGACACCCGACCGAGGUUAAUUGGUUCCCGUGUGGGAACUUGCCGUCUCCUCCGGAGCGGAUGCUGGCAAGUGAAUCGCGGCUGCGCUGCUCUACUGCCGUAGUGUCUGGCGUGCCGCGUACUCUGUUGGGGUGCCACGGCUAGCGGCGAUAUGGUCGGUCACCCACCCGACCCCUCUUGAAGCACGGACCAAGGAGUCUAACAUGUGCGCGAGUCAUUGGGUCUUGAACAGGCCCACAGGCGCAAUGAAAGUGAAGGCCGGCAUUCCGUCGGCCAUGUUGGGAUCUCCCGUCCCUCGUGGCGGGAAAGCACCAACGAUCCGUCCCGUCCGAUUUAUCGGUGGGGCGGAAUCGGAGCGCACACGUUGGGACCCGAAAGAUGGUGAACUAUGCCUGGGCAGGAUGAAGCCAGAGGAAAC
rnacentral:rRNA from 1 species